rfam:Triticum aestivum genome assembly, contig: Triticum_aestivum_CS42_TGACv1_scaffold_210456_3AS
UAUGUACUCCCUCCGUCCGAAAAUACUCGUCGGUGAAAUGGAUGUAUCUAGACGCAUUUUAGUUCUAGAUACAUCAAUUUUUAUCAAUUUCCCCGACAAGUAUUUCCAAACAGAGGUAGUAAUUU